rnacentral:misc_RNA from 1 species
UGCCUUAAAUUCUUCAUAAUGUAUCUGAAAAUUGUCAGGCCAAAACAUCAGUUUGCUUUAACCAAGAAAUAGCACUACUAAUUACUCUAUUGAAUUGAAGAUUCCACUGCAAAGAUACAAGCCAGCGAAACAAAAGGGAGGCAGGAAUAGCAAAAAAUGGACACAUAAGCUAAACAGGCACCAAAAAAAUUGGUUCCAUAUUGGUUAUAUUUAAAAAAGGCAAAUGGAAACAGGUACCCACAGGUACACAUAUAUAUAACCUAAUUAAAAUGGCCAUAAACACGCAAACAAGUUUACUAACAAAGAUUUGAUUAGAUUUAUGUGCUCAAUCCAAGUUGACAGAACCAAUCAGGAAAAAAAUACAGAUCCAAAAGACACUAAAACCUUUCUGCUUCUAUAUUUGGUAAAACCACAAAAGUGGCAAGAUGGGAUUUACCUUAUUACACCACAAA